rnacentral:rRNA from 1 species
GGGAGCAAUCUCGCAAGUAAAGUGGCGUACGGGUGAGUAACACGUGGAUGAUCUGCCCUGGAGUGGGGAAUAACGCUGGGAAACCGGCGCUAAUACCGCAUAUUCCCGAGAGGGGAAAGCAGCAAUGCGCUCGAGGAGGAGUCCGCGGCCGAUUAGCUAGUUGGCAGGGUAAAAGCCUACCAAGGCUAUGAUCGGUAGCCGGCCUGAGAGGGCACACGGCCACACUGGCACUGAAACACGGGCCAGACUCCUACGGGAGGCAGCAGUGGGGAAUCUUGCACAAUGGGGGCAACCCUGACGCAGCAACGCCGCGUGGAGGAUGAAAUCCCUUGGGAUGUAAACUCCUUUCGAUAGGGAAGAUAAUGACGGUACCUAUAGAAGAAGCCCCGGCUAACUUCGUGCCAGCAGCCGCGGUAAUACGAGGGGGGCAAGCGUUGUUCGGAAUUAUUGGGCGUAAAGGGUGCGUAGGCGGUUUGACAAGUCUUAUGUGAAAUCUAUGGGCUCAACCCAUAGUCUGCAUGGGAAACUGUCGGGCUUGAGUAUGGGAGAGGUGAGUGGAAUUUCCGGUGUAGCGGUGAAAUGCGUAGAUAUCGGAAGGAACACCUGUGGCGAAAGCGGCUCACUGGACCAUUACUGACGCUGAUGCACGAAAGCUAGGGGAGCAAACAGGAUUAGAUACCCUGGCAGUCCUAGCCCUAAACGAUGAUUGCUUGAUGUGG